CUUCCUCUAACUGGAGAAUAGCCCGAAGAAAUUCGGAUUAAUACUCCAUAAAGUCAAUUUAAGGCAUCCUUUAUUGAUUAAAGCUCCGGCGGUUAGAGAUGGGCCAUGCGUGUCAUUAGCUAGUUGGUGAGGUAACGGCUCACCAAGGCCACGAUGACUAGGGGGUCUGAGAGGAUGAUCCCCCACACUGGUACUGAGACACGGACCAGACUCCUACGGGAGGCAGCAGUGAGGAAUAUUGGGCAAUGGACGCAAGUCUGACCCAGCCAUGCCGCGUGCAGGAUGACUGCCCUAUGGGUUGUAAACUGCUUUUGUUUGGGAAGAAACCCCCGACCGUGAUCGGGGCUGACGGUACCAUACGAAUAAGCAUCGGCUAACUCCGUGCCAGCAGCCGCGGUAAUACGGAGGAUGCAAGCGUUAUCCGGAUUCAUUGGGUUUAAAGGGUGCGCAGGCGGAAUAUUAAGUCAGUGGUGAAAUCCUGCAGCUUAACUGUAGAACUGCCAUUGAUACUGAUAUUCUUGAAUAUAGUUGAGGUGGGCGGAAUGUGUAAUGUAGCGGUGAAAUGCUUAGAUAUUACACAGAACACCAAUUGCGAAGGCAGCUCACUAAACUAAUAUUGACGCUGAGGCACGAAAGCGUGGGUAGCAAACAGGAUUAGAUGCCCUGGUAGUCCACGCUGUAAACUAUGAUCACUCGCUGUUGGCAAUACAUCGUCAGCGGCUGAGCGAAAGCAUUAAGUGAUCCACCUGGGGAGUACGGUCGCAAGAUUGAAACUCAAAGGAAUUGACGGGGGCCCGCACAAGCGGAGGAACAUGUGGUUUAAUUCGAUGAUACGCGAGGAACCUUACCUGGGCUUAAAUGCAGAGCGACGGCCGCCGAAAGAUGGAUUCCUUCGGGCGAUCUGCAAGGUGCUGCAUGGUUGUCGUCAGCUCGUGCCGUGAGGUGUCGGGUUAAGUCCCAUAACGAGCGCAACCCUUAUCGUUAGUUGCCAGCGGGUAAUGCCGGGGACUCUAACGAAACUGCCGGUGUAAACCGUGAGGAAGGUGGGGAUGACGUCAAAUCAGCACGGCCCUUAUGUCCAGGGCUACACACGUGUUACAAUGGUCGGUACAGAGGGCAGCUACCACGCAAGUGGAUGCUAAUCUCGAAAACCGGUCUCAGUUCGGAUUGAAGUCUGCAACUCGACUUCAUGAAGCUGGAUUCGCUAGUAAUCGCGCAUCAGCCAUGGCGCGGUGAAUACGUUCCCGGGCCUUGUACACACCGCCCGUCAAGCCAUGGAAGCUUGGGGUACC
rnacentral:rRNA from 1 species